rnacentral:rRNA from 1 species
UACGAGUGCCUCGAGCGUUAUCCGGAAUCAUUGGGCGUAAAGGGUGCGUAGGUUGUCAUAUUAGUCUCUUGUUAAAACUUUCGGCUUAACCGGAAAUCUGCAGGGGAAACGGUAUGACUAGAGGAUGGAAGAGGUUUGCGGAACUCAUGGUGUAGGGGUGAAAUCCGUUGAUAUCAUGGGGAACACCGAAAGCGAAGGCAGCAAACUGGUCCACUCCUGACGCUGAAGCACGAAGGUCAGGGGAGCAAACGGG